GACGGCGCGGUGGUGCAUGCCUGUAGUCCCCUACUUGGGAGGCAGAGGUGGGAGGACUGCUUGAGCCCAAGACUUCUGGGCUGUAGUGUACUACGCUGAUCAGGGGUCCGCACUAAGUCUGGCAUCAAUAUGGUGACCUCUUGGAAGUGGGUGACCACCAGGUUGCCUAAAGAGGGGUGAACCGGCCCAGGUAGGAAACGGAACAGGUCAAAACUCCUGUGAUGAUCAGUAGUGGGAAUGUUCCUGUGAAUAGCCACUGCACUCCAGCCUGGACAAUAUAGUGAGACCCCAUCACA
rnacentral:SRP_RNA from 1 species